CAUUCUCUCGGGAAUAGAUCGGUGCUACCAGGAACAAUCGUGUCUCACGUCAACAGAACCCUAAAUUAUUUAAAUGCCAUGUUCUACAGAUCUUUCAUGUUUUGAGUUCAAAUCUUAUUUCAGCCAAUUAUUGAGCCCCUUUUGUAAGGUGAGACCAUAGUUAUCCCCAAGAGGAGCAGUGACAGAAAGGGUAUGACCCUAACACAGUUUUUGGCAGAAGCCAGAUGUCCCAUAAUUUAGUUUUCUUUGCCUGGCUGGAGGCUCACAGGAACAGGCUGGAACAACAGGGUCCAAAGUAGGUCAUAUAAUUCCUGGUCUGGUAUUCUGUUCUCUGAGUGGCAAUGGCAGGUUGGCUAUAUGUGCUGUUACCAAGUUAAUCAAUUUCAAGUAAGCAUUGAAUUUGAUUUGAUUUGAUUUGAUUUGAUUGUUUGUUUUGGUUUUUUAAGACAGGGUUUCUCUGUGUAGCUUUGGAGUCUGUCCUGGAACUCACUUUGUAGACCAGGCUGGCCUCUGCCUCCUGAGUGCUGGGAUUAAAGGCAUGCACCACCACCGCCCAGCAGGAAACAUGAGGGAGUCAUGAAGAGGGCGUCUGUAUUCCAGAAGGAGCUGAGUUUAAUUUUCAGAACCCACAGAUGGGCAGCUACCAACGGACUGUAACUGCAGUUCUGGGGUCCAAUACACUCUUCUGACCUUCACUGGGACCCUGCCCACUUGCUCCCCGACCAUAAAUAAAAUAAUAAACAAAUAUUCUAACAAAAAA